GAGGGGUCAGGUGUCAUACUGUGUGACAAUUGCCUAUGCCGCAUGGCGCAUGACCUUUGUU
rnacentral:pre_miRNA from 1 species